UGUGAAAGGGAUUUUAAGAAAUAUAUUAAAAAAUGCCCCAGGAAAACAUCUCCUACCCCACUUUUAAUAAUACAGAGGGUUUUAUAGAAGAUUCUAGGUUUACAGCCUGAGCUUCCUCAGAGCUGAUAGUUGCAAGUAUUUCAUCUAUUUUUUCUCUACUAGUUGUGAUUUUAUUGUUAAAGAAUUGUAGGAAGUCAUAAAUUGUAGGAAGGCUAAUUGAAGGCUGGCUACAGUGUGGAACAGAAACCUGGGGUUAUUCUUGUUUUCCUCUAUUAAGGAUGAGUAAUAUCUAGUUUUAGCCCUAUGCAGGGCCUGCUUAUAAGUCAGUAAACUCUUUUUCCAGGCACUCAAAGAUUCCUCUGAGCUGGAGCAGUGCCAUAGCCUCUCUAAUUUACGCACUGCUUGUUUAAGGAAAAGUGUUUCAGCAUUAUACCUAGGAGAAGCUCACAUCGUUCUAACAGCCUUAGGUUUUAGAGGAGCUACUACAUCCAGAGUAGUUUGUAGUGUGUACAGGGCACUAUCAACAAACUCAUCACAUAUAGCUGGACUAGACAUUUGGGAGCUGUUCUCUUCAUAAUCACAUGACAUGGCAGUAAAUAUUGGCUGAAUUAUCUCUUUUUACUUUGAGACAGAACAAUCACAUAAUGUCCUUUUCAUCUGAGUUUUAAAUAUUGGUGUAGAAAUAUCCUCAAGCAUAAACUGAAAGGUAAUUAAAAAGUGAUCUGAGAGUACAGGGUUACAGGGGAGGACAAUAAGGUCACAAAUCUCAAUACCAUAUGUUAAGAUCAGAUCCAGGGUGUGCUUGUGACUGUGAGUUGAUUUAUUUAUUUUGAACUAAGCCAAUCCCAUCUCGCAGGCCACUGAAAGCAUUAUCAAUACCCCUUUUCCAUGAAACUGGUUUCGGACAUGUUCAGAGCCAACGCCUGACUUCACACCGGUUGUUUGUGUUUCCACCGCCUAACAAAAUGGUUCCAAACAGGUUCCAGGAAAGCACUAACUUCGAGAUGGGGUAAACUGCGGCCAGACUAAGAACCGAUGAACCAAUUCCCUGUGUCAUUGGUGGGUGGGGGGUUACAGACCAAUACAGGAAGAGCGAAAGCUAUGAACCGCCAUUUUUAAAACUACAACCACUGGGUUUUUAGUUUAGCUUUGUUUUUAGAGAAAGAGUUAUAGAUGCCAAAAACAAGCAGCAGUGGACUGAGGAGGAGACCCAGGCUUUCUGGCACUGUGGGCUUCUUCCGAAGUCCAAGACAUGUUGGAGGGAGCCUCUUGCACAAAACCGGUGUUCGGAAAAAUAUAAAGAUGGAAUGAAAUAUAAACAUAAAAAUGAAAAGAGAUGGCUACAAGCAGACCCUGGACCAGCUUCUAAACAAACUGGAGAAGUUAAAGAAGGACUACAGGGGCCAGAAAAGACAACUUGGAUGCAGCGGCAGGCUGAAAAGAAUCCUACAUUUGGACCUGCUGGACUGGGUUUUAGGGGACCGAUGAAUCAGACUACCAGUGCGCUGAACUCAGCCACAGCAGCCACGGACUUGCAACUCUCGAUUGUGGACAAGCUUGUUGUUCAAACAGCAGCAAACAAUACUGUUGUUGCCCAUGGACGAGGACGCAGAUUCACACAGCAACAGCACCUUGAUUUUUCUUCCCUUUUGUAAAGUUUUUUAAGCAUUUUUUUUUAUUUGAGCCUUUUUUUUACUUCAGUAUGAAUAAACUCAUUUGAAAUACAAAAAGUUCAUUUUGUCCAUGUUUUCCUAUGCCUCCCAUAAACUUGGGUAAUAAUACUGCUCUGCUGACCUCACUAAUUAUCUGUUUACAGACUAUCCUUGCAUUAUGUUUCUAUGUAUGUAAUAUAGAAACCCAGAUAAUUAUGUUUAUCACAGAUGCCACAGAGUGAAUAUUUGUGUUUUUUGCCUGUGGAUUUCAAUAUAGGCUUGGAAACGCAAGAGCAGCACUUGCUUCUGAGAGCGUGUCUCCCACGCCAGACCCAGUCCUGUGAUCACGUUUUACAAUGAUGUAAUGACAUGGCUAUGACUUGGCUCCGUUUGGCUCUUGGCCUAUGGAAAAGCAAACCAGUUCUUUGGAGGCACCAGGUUGGAACCAGCUAAGCACUAGCUCUACCACCAGCACCGAACUAGCACCAGGUUCUUUUUGGUGGAAAAGGUGAUAAGUUUUAGGGCUAAGACCUUAAUUGGAGUGUGAUAUUACUGCCACUUCUCCACCUCGGCCAGUGCUUCUAGCUGUGUGGAAAUCCACAUGACUUGUUGGGGUGGAAUCAUUUAGUCUCACGUACUCAUCCUGCUGAAGCCAAGUGUCUGUGAAAGCCAAAAUGUCAAUUUUAUAAUCACCAAUUAAGUCAUUUACUAACAAAGAUUUAGAUGAAAUUGACAUGUUUAGUAAUCCACAUUUUAUAUGUUUAUUAGGUGUUCUUUUAUAUUGACUGCUACUCAAAACUAUUUUUUAUUAAAUUAUUUGGUCUCACUCCCAUAGGCUUUACAGUAUUAGGCUUUUUAGUGUGUGCUGCAC